rnacentral:rRNA from 1 species
UACGGAGGGUGCAAGCGUUAUCCGGAUUCACUGGGUUUAAAGGGUGCGUAGGCGGGCAGGUAAGUCAGUGGUGAAAUCCUGGAGCUUAACUCCAGAACUGCCGUUGAUACUAUCUGUCUUGAAUACUCGGGAGGUGAGCGGAAUAUGUCAUGUAGCGGUGAAAUGCUUAGAUAUGACAUAGAACACCGAUUGCGAAGGCAGCUUGCUACAGAGUAAUUGACGCUGAGGCACGAAAGCGUGGGGAUCAAACAGG